CAUGAUGAGACUACAUUAGUCUUGAAUUGUAUAGAGGGUAGUCGCAGUCGCCCCGACUCCGACCCUUGCACGGUAUACUGUGUAAGAGUAAGGUGAGAAACAACUUUAGUUGGAAACUUUAAUUUUGUUUAUGAAUUAAAGAACUGU
rnacentral:ncRNA from 1 species